rnacentral:rRNA from 1 species
GGGUGAGUAACGCGUGAGAAACCUGCCUUUUACAAAGGGAUAGCCUCGGGAAACUGGGAUUAAUACCUUAUGACACUUAAAUGUCGCAUGAGAUUUAAGUCAAAGCGUAAAGCGGUAAAAGAUGGUCUCGCGUCCCAUUAGUUAGUUGGUGAGGUAAAGGCUCACCAAGACAGCGAUGGGUAGCCGGCCUGAGAGGGUGAACGGCCACACUGGAACUGAGACACGGUCCAGACUCCUACGGGAGGCAGCAGUGGGGAAUAUUGCACAAUGGAGGAAACUCUGAUGCAGCGACGCCGCGUGAACGAUGAAGGCUUUCGGU